rnacentral:rRNA from 1 species
AGUGAACGCUGGCGGUAGGCCUAACACAUGCAAGUCGAACGGCAGCACAGUAAGAGCUUGCUCUUACGGGUGGCGAGUGGCGGACGGGUGAGGAAUACAUCGGAAUCUACUUUUUCUUGGGGGAUAACGUAGGGAAACUUACGCUAAUACCGCAUAUAUCCUACGGGUUAAAGCAGUGGAUCUUCGGACCUUUCCCGUCUGAAUUAGACGACGUCGGAUUAGCUAGUUGGCGGGGUAAAGGCUCACCAAGGCGACGAUGCGUAGCUGGUCUGAGAGGAUGAUCAGCCACACUGGAACUGAGACACGGUCCAGACUCCUACGGGAGGCAGCAGUGGGGAAUAUUGGACAAUGGGCGCAAGCCUGAUGCAGCAAUGCCGCGUGGGUGAAGAAGGUCUUCGGGUCGUAAAGCCCUGUUGUUGGGAAAGAAAAGAAGCAGGAGAAUCCAUCGACGUUUUGACGGUACCUAAAGAGUAAGCAACGGCUAACUUCGUG